AGAAAUUAUAAAACCCUAAUCAGUCCCAGUCCGCCUUUGCUUCGAUUUUCAGAUUUCCAUAGUUUCAGAUCUUAUCUCAAGUUUUGCAGAUCGAUCCAUGAAAUCAAUUUCCCCACAAGUUUCAAUUCCUAUUUCUCAUUUUGAUCUUCCCCGAAAUCAAAACCCCGAUCACUAAGUAAGAAGACAUUAAGGUAUCGAUGGAUACUUUAAGAAGGAGUAUUGAUUUUGUUGUAUGUGAUUCUGGUGGAGGGAUCGGAACACACAAACAACCACAACAUGAUCAUAUUUCCUCGAUCAAAACAGAACCUUAUCAAUUCACGAGGACUUGGAUAAGGAACAAGGAUAUACCAGCUUAUUCCCCUUAUUUUGACAAAGUGUUGUUUGAUAUGAACGGGAAAGGUUUAAUAAGGAUGCUGGAGGUGUGUCUCUGGUUUCUCGGUUGAAGGUGAAAUAUCACAUUUACCUGUCAAAGACCAGGACGGCAUGUACCAAUUUGAUACUCGUGCUGAUCUAGCCGCUCUGGCCUCUAAGGUUAUUUUGCUGUAUCGCUUGCAAGAGGAGAAAACUCAGCGCGUGGUCUUUGUCGCUGGAUAUGCUCGUGGAGAAUCUGACUACUAACGUCGAAGACACUCCUGUUCUGAAAGUUGUUCAUACUUUUCGAGAUGAUUCAGUACCUUCCCUGGCUGCUCACAAUGAUAUGGUCCAAUUCUUAAAUGCAGCAAAAACACACCGCAAGGAUUUAAUCGCUAAAGGAAGUACGACUCGGCUCAUUUUAUUUGUUUAGUUAGCUGGCAGCCGUUCCGCUUAUCUGUUGCAUUAGUCCUUCGCAUAUGAAGACAAAAGCUUCAUCGCCUAAUAUUAAUGUCAUGUAUGCCAUGGUCAUCUCUGCCUGGGUAUAAUUAUUCAAGGUAACAACAUUUUACCGUUUCACUGCUUGUUAACUAUUAGAUACACAUGAUUUAGGUUUUACUUUUUUGUUAUAUACCUAAUUGACGUGCUCGUGAAGAAGUGAUCGAGGACUAUGCGUUGAUGGAUUUAUCGUCUGCAUCUCAAUUUACCAGUACGAAGGUCUCUCCAUUGAUGAUGAACGUUCUCAUCCAUGAUUUUCUUUAUUGUUCUUUGGAGCCACAUUUUGAGAGUCUCGGUUAUAAAUGAAGAACAUAGAUGCGACGUGAUAAAUCCUUGCUUUAAAUUAGGAGGAGCUGACAAGUAUCAACUUGUUGGAAUCUAGAGAUAGACCCAUCAGACCCUGAAUGCGUGAAAUGCUUUUGUAGAUUGAUGUAUAAGGAGGUUUAUGAUGAGACCCCUACUUUCUUAUGAACCAAAACAAUAUGAUUUUGUUGUGGUCAAACUACUACAGAUGACUGUAAGGUGUUGGAGCAGGAAAGAAGUGUCUAUUCUAUCUGUUCUCUUAAUCUGCAUACAAGAGUGUGUUUUUUUUUGUUUGUUUUGUAAUUUUAGUUCUGGGUUAUCAUGUAGUAACCUGAAAGAGGUCUUCAUGUUUAAAAUGGAUUUCUGAUGGUUAUUUUAAGUUUAGUUAGUUCAGAAUAUUUUGUAUGUAGACUGUGCAAAAAUUGUUUGUAAUUGUGUUUACACAUUGUGAACAUCUUCGUGUAUCAUUGCAUCCAUAAGAAAUGUCCGUCUUCUAAACCAGGUGGUCCAUACUAGAUAAAAAUAAUGCAAUUUGAUGUGUCGAAGCACUGUUUAUUGAUUGAAUGGUUUUUUUGUAUUACCUUGUUUAUAUUUCGAAAUUAAUCAGGCACUAAAACUUUCUUCUUUUU